rnacentral:rRNA from 1 species
AACGAACGCUGGCGGCAGGCUUAACACAUGCAAGUCGAGCGCCCCGCAAGGGGAGCGGCAGACGGGUGAGUAACGCGUGGGAAUCUACCCAUCUCUACGGAAUAACGCAUGGAAACGUGUGCUAAUACCGUCAACGUCCUUCGGGAGAAAGGUUUCUCGGGGUUGGAUGAGCACGCGUUGGAUUAGCUAGUUGGUGGGGUAAAGGCCUACCAAGGCGACGACCCAUAGCUGGUCUGAGAGGAUGCUUAGCCACACUGGGACUGAGACACGGCCCAGACUCCUACGGGAGGGAGCAGUGGGGAAUAUUGGACAAUGGGCGCAAGGCUGAUCCAGCCAUGCCGCGUGAGUGAUGAAGGCCCUAGGGUUGUAAAGCUCUUUCACCGGUGAAGAUAAUGACGGUAAUCGGAGAAGAAGCCCCGGCUAACUUCGUGCCAGCCGCCGCCGUAAUAC